rnacentral:tRNA from 1 species
AGUCCCAUAGCUCAGCUGGUUAGAGUACUACACUGAUAAUGUAGGGGUCGGCAGUUCAAGUCUGCCUGGGACUA